rnacentral:lncRNA from 1 species
CUUCUUCUCCCAAUUGAGCUAUGGACUCUAGUAUAGAGUCGAUGGGAAUGUAGAGGGCUGAGGAAGUAACCCUUGAAAUUGACUAUAGGGCAAUAAUUGUUGCUGUGGCCAUAGGUAUCUAUCUUUUGCGAUCAUCAUUUGGAUUUAGUUCUUAGAGAUGGUCUCUAUCAUUUGCAUGGUGAUGUAUAUGUGAACUUACUUGAGCAAUCAGUGAAUGCCAUU